rnacentral:rRNA from 1 species
UACAGAGGUCCCAAGCGUUGUUCGGAUUCACUGGGCGUAAAGGGUGCGUAGGCGGUCGGGUAAGUCUGAUGUGAAAUCUCACAGCUUAACUGUGAAACUGCAUUGGAUACUAUCCGGCUCGAGGAAUGGAGGGGAGACUGGAAUACUUGGUGUAGCAGUGAAAUGCGUAGAUAUCAAGUGGAACACCAGUGGCGAAGGCGGUUGCCUGGGGCUUUGCUGACGCUGAUGCGCGAAAGCGUGGGGAGCGAUCCGG